CACGCCGUAAACGUUGUAUACUAGGUGUAGGUGGUUUUGCCACCUGUGCCGACGCAAAUGCAUUAAGUAUACCGCCUGGGGAGUACGUCCGCAAGGAUGAAACUCAAAGAAAUUGACGGGGGCCCGCACAAGCGGUGGAGCAUGUGGUUUAAUUCGAUGAUACGCGAAAAACCUUACCUGGGCUUGAACUGUGCAUGACAGGUGUAGAGAUACACCCUCCUUCGGGCAUGUACAGAGGUGC
rnacentral:rRNA from 1 species